CCUACGGGUGGCAGCAGUCGAGAAUCAUUCACAAUGGGGGAAACCCUGAUGGUGCGACGCCGCGUGGGGGAAUGAAGGUCUUCGGAUUGUAAACCCCUGUCAUGUGGGAGCAAAUUAAAAAGAUAGUACCACACGAGGAAGAGACGGCUAACUCUGUGCCAGCAGCCGCGGUAAUACAGAGGUCUCAAGCGUUGUUCGGAAUCACUGGGCGUAAAGCGUGCGUAGGCUGUUUCGUAAGUCGUGUGUGAAAGGCGCGGGCUCAACCCGCGGACGGCACAUGAUACUGCGAGACUAGAGUAAUGGAGGGGGAACCGGAAUUCUCGGUGUAGCAGUGAAAUGCGUAGAUAUCGAGAGGAACACUCGUGGCGAAGGCGGGUUCCUGGACAUUAACUGACGCUGAGGCACGAAGGCCAUGGGAGCGAAAGGGAUUAGAUACCCGAGUAGUC
rnacentral:rRNA from 1 species